rnacentral:rRNA from 1 species
ACUCAAAUGAAUUGACGGGGGCCCGCACAAGCGGCGGAGCAUGUUGCUUAAUUCGACGCAACGCGAAGAACCUUACCAAGGUUUGACAUCACCCGGAAACGCUCAGAGAUGGGUGCCUCUUCGGAUCGGGUGACAGGUGGUGCAUGGCUGUCGUCAGCUCGUGUCGUGAGAUGUUGGGUUAAGUCCCGCAACGAGCGCAACCCUUGCUCCAUGUUGCCAGCACGCCCUGUUUGGGGUGGUGGGGACUCAUGGGGGACUGCCGGGGUCAACUCGGAGGAAGGUGGGGAUGACGUCAAGUCAUCAUGCCCCUUAUGUCUUGGGCUGCAAACAUGCUACAAUGGCUGGUACAGAGGGUGGCGAUGCCGUGAGGCGGAGCGAAUCCCUAAAAGCCGGUCUCAGUUCGGAUUGGGGUCUGCAACUCGACCCCAUGAAGUCGGAGUCGCUAGUAAUCGCAGAUCAGCAAUGCUGCGGUGAAUACGUUCCCGGGCCUUGUACACACCGCCCGU